rnacentral:rRNA from 1 species
GAUGAACGCUGGCGGCGUGCCUAAUACAUGCAAGUCGAGCGAACAGACGAGGAGCUUGCUCCUCUGACGUUAGCGGCGGACGGGGGAGUAGCAAGUGGAUAACCUACCUAUACGACUGGGAUAACUUCGGGAAACAGGAGCUGAUAACGGGUAAUAUAUUGGACCGCAUGGUUCAAUAGUGAAAGACGGUUUUGCUGUCACUUAUAGAUGGAUCCGCGCCGCAUUAGCUAGUUGGUAAGGUAACGGCUUACCAAGGCGACGAUGCGUAGCCGACCUGAGAGGGUGAUCGGCCACACUGGAACUGAGACACGGUCGAGACUCCUACGGGAGGCAGCAGUAGUGAAUCUUCCGCAAUGGGCGAAAGCCUGACGGAGCAACGCCGCGUGAGUGAUGAAGGUCUUCGUAUCGUAAAACUCUGUUAUUAGGGAAGAACAAAUGUGUAAGUAACUAUGCACGUCUUGACGGUACCUAAUCAGAAAGCCACGGCUAACUACGUG